rnacentral:rRNA from 1 species
AUUGAACGCUGGCGGCAUGCCUUACACAUGCAAGUCGAACGGUAACAGGUCUUCGGAUGCUGACGAGUGGCGAACGGGUGAGUAAUACAUCGGAACGUGCCCGAUCGUGGGGGAUAACGGAGCGAAAGCUUUGCUAAUACCGCAUACGAUCUACGGAUGAAAGCAGGGGACCGCAAGGCCUUGCGCGGACGGAGCGGCCGAUGGCAGAUUAGGUAGUUGGUGGGAUAAAAGCUUACCAAGCCGACGAUCUGUAGCUGGUCUGAGAGGACGACCAGCCACACUGGGACUGAGAAACGGCCCAGACUCCUACGGGAGGCAGCAGUGGGGAAUUUUGGACAAUGGGCGCAAGCCUGAUCCAGCCAUGCCGCGUGCAGGAUGAAGGCCUUCGGGUUGUAAACUGCUUUUGUACGGAACGAAAAGACUCUGGUUAAUACCUGGGGUCCAUGGCGGUACCGUAAGAAUAAGCACCGGCUAACUACGUGCCAGCCGCCGCCGUAAAAC